GACAAAGCAAAAGUUUAUUUCAUUAAUAAUUCUAUAAGAUAUACUGGUUCGGCAAAUAAGAACAAGCCAUCUCGAGGUGUAAACUUCACACACGAUGCUACAUAUAUGGAUCACAUGUCGUUGAAGAAAAGCACGACAACCCUGGUCUUUACUCUCCUAACAGGCAUCUCAACUACUCUAACCGGCUCAAGGACACAAAACAAAGGACACUGAAAGCAAAUACUGAAACUGACAUGUUUAAACAUUCAAAUUGUAAAUAA
rnacentral:lncRNA from 1 species